GAUGAACGCUGGCGGCGUGCCUAAUACAUGCAAGUCGAGCGAACAGACGAGGAGCUUGCUCCUCUGACGUUAGCGGCGGACGGGUGAGUAACACGUGGAUAACCUACCUAUAAGACUGGGAUAACUUCGGGAAACCGGAGCUAAUACCGGAUAAUAUAUUGAACCGCAUGGUUCAAUAGUGAAAGACGGUUUUGCUGUCACUUAUAGAUGGAUCCGCGCCGCAUUAGCUAGUUGGUAAGGUAACGGCUUACCAAGGCGACGAUGCGUAGCCGACCUGAGAGGGUGAUAGGCCACACUGGACCUGAGACACGGUCCAGACUCCUACGGGAAGCAGCAGUAGGGAAUCUUCCGGAAUGGGCGAAAGCCUGACGGAGCAAAGCCGGGUGAGUGAUGAAGGUCUUCGGAUCGUUAAACUCUGUUAUUAGGGGAGAACAAAUGUGUAAGUAACUAUGCACGUCUUGACGGUACCUAAUCAGAAAGCCACGGCUAACUCCGUG
rnacentral:rRNA from 1 species